AAUAAAUGAACAAAAACAAUUUCUAAAGUUUGGGCUCAUAAACAUUAGAUCACUCAAACCCAAAGCAGUUAUUGUAAAUGAAAUGAUCACUGAUAAUAGUUUUGAUGUACUCUGUUUGACUGAAACCUGGCUAAAACCAAAUGAUUAUAUUGGUCUAAAUGAGUCUACUCCACCAAACUACUGUUAUAAACAUGAGCCCCGUCAGACUGGUCGUGGGGGAGGUGUUGCAACAAUAUAUAGUGAUAUUCUCAGUGUCACCCAGAAAACAGGAUACAGGUUUAAAUCAUUUGAAAUACUUAUGCUUAAUGUUACACUGUCAGAUAUGCAAAAGAAAUCUAUUGUAUCUCUUUCUCUGGCUACUGUGUAUAGACCACCAGGGCCAUAUACAGAAUUCCUAAAAGAAUUUGGAGACUUCCUCUCAGACCUGUUGGUUACCGCUGAUAAAGUGCUAAUUUUCGGAGAUUUUAACAUUCAUGUUGAUAAUACAAAUGAUGCAUUAGGAGUAGUGGAGACCAUACUCAGCUCUAGACCUCCCUCCACGAGGAAAUUGUACGGCCUAAAAUGGAAUGUUUUCACCGUUUGGUGCAGAGAGAGUGAGGUGGACCCAGUUAUCUGCCCAGUGGCUUCAGUGCUGGAGUUCCUCCAAGAUCGCUUCUCAGCUGGUCUUACCCCAUCCACUCUCAAGGUGUAUGUGGCUGCCAUUUCGGCUUUCCACGCUCCUCUGAGUGAUGGGCCUCUUGGGAGACAGCCGUUGGUUGUAUGUUUUCUCCGUGGGGCUUGGAGGAUGAGACCUGCGGCUCGUACCAGGGUUCCCUCUUGGGACCUGGCGGUGGUUCUCGAAGGGUUGGUUGAGGCCCCCUUCGAACCGCUGGAGUCGGCUGAGGCCAAGAACCUUUCCCUAAAGGUGGCUUUCUUGUUGGCCAUUACCUCUCUGAGGAGGGUAGGAGAUCUCCAGGUGCUCUCUUUAGCUAAUGGGUGCCUGGAGUUUGUGACAGGUGACAUCAGAGUCAUCCUACAUCCUAGGCCGGGCUAUUUGCCAAAGGUGCCAUCUAAUGUGGCACGGCCUUUGCUUCUGCAGGCUUGUCAUCCUCCGCCUCACGUGACGGCGGAUGAGGAGAGACUUCACCUGCUCUGCCCUGUCAGAGCUCUCAAAAUAUAUAUCCAGAGGUCCUCCUCAUGGCGGAAGUCAGACCAGUUGUUAGUGUGUUUCGGGUCGCCCAAGAAGGGGCUUCCUGCUUCCAAACAGACCAUUAUCAACUGGAUUGUCCAAGCUAUAUCUAUGGCCUACCAGGUGCACAAUUUUCCUUCACCUCUGGCCGUGAGGGCUCACUCUACCAGAGGCAUGGCGUCCUCUAGAGCCCUCCCUUCAGGGGUCCCGAUCCAGGAGGUCUGCGAUGCAGCAGGAUGGGCCACCCCUCACACUUUUAUUAGAUUUUACAGCCUGGACAUUCCAUCGACACCUGGCACCCUUUUGCUCUCGUCCUAAGUGUGCCUGUGCGCAGCUUCAGACUAGGACAGGCAGGGCUUGUUGUGGCAUAGUGGGUACUUGUUCCCCCAAAGUGUCGGUCGACGCAGUUCGAGGAUCCCUCGAAGGGAAACGUCUCGGGUUACGACUGUAACCCUUGUUCCCCGAGAAAGGGAACGAGAACUGCGUUCAUUCGCUACACCUCCCCCUGCAUGGGAGCGCUUGCUUCAUCACAGAAGCUAUCUCUGUUGUGUGCCAGCGUCCUU
ensembl:lncRNA